UAAGCCAUUAAAUACCGUUAAGAAGAAGUUAUCAAAAGAUGAAGUGUAAUUCGUCCACUUAAAUUCUAUUCCCAAGAAAGAAUUCUGAAGCUCUGAAAUUGAUUUAUAAUUACUUUCAACAAUACAUUCCCUGUAUUCUGAUGGAAUUGCAUAUUUGAAGGACUUCAUGAAAAGAUAAGAUAGGGUUACAAGCCUAGCAUUUGUUUUUGGAAGAGAUUGAAACCCAUAUACCACCAAAGAUUUUGGCUGAAUGAAAAUUCUUGAGCUUAAGGAAAUCUUUGGAACCCCAACAUUAAUAGGGAAGUAGAAUGUGGAAUAAGCAAUUGGUGAAACAAACUCAUUAAAUCCUGAUAAGACAUUAUUCAUUAGCGUCUCAUCAAUAUCUUCCGUCGUAUUUGAUGUAUAUUUGAUAUAAGAUGCCAAAGAUUCAACCAAAAGUUUUGGAUGCACUUGUGGAGG
rnacentral:antisense_RNA from 1 species